UUGGAACCAAGUAAAAGAAACGGUAAGAAAGAUAAAUAGAUUGGUUGGAUUUCAUUGACUCAAUAAUAUAGCAGGAGGUGACAUUAGUGAGGUGUGCUGGCAAAACACUAAACCAAUUUUUUUAGCAUGAGCUUUUAUCAUCUGGAUGUGAACUUUAAAGUAUAGCAAGGUAUGAAUUUAUUUACCUUGCCAUUCCUUAGCAUACCCGUUCCAUUUUCUCUCAUCUCUCUAUAAACCCAAUUUGUUAAUCACCAAGUUAAAAACUUGCUAAAUUUCUUUAAGUGUUCAGCUAUUAUCAAGCUUUUUACUCAAUUAAGAAGUUUGUCAAUAAGCUAAAAGUAUAAUUUAGGCAUUUAGCAUGAGCUGCCUAUCAAGGAUGAGAUGAUUUAAAACCAAGUAGGAGCUGUUCUGGUACAAACUCAUAUAGGUUUCUGACUUGGUCUGGCUAUAUUGUGAGGAGCUAUCAUUUUUUUGUGUGGUGCAAGAACAGAGGUUUAUAGAACCCAAAGCACAUUCUAAAGCUUCCUUUUAUUUUCUGUUUCCACCCGCCAUCCCCUCUCUCAAAUAAAUUUCAAUGUUUCAUUUCGGUUAGAGCAAGGAAGAGGUAAAGCUUCAUGAUUUGUGUGGUGAAGUUGGACUUUGAAUUUAAGGAUAGAAAGAUCUCAUAAUCAAGUGAAAGGUAUUAUAGCUUAUCUUGAUUUUAUUUUUAUUACGAAAUGCAAAGUUUUGUCAAAAUUGGUUCAUAUAUGUGAUUAGUGGUAAAUUUAUUAGUUUGUGUGUAGUGAUUGUGUAACACAAAGUAUCACUGGAUAUGCAUAUCUAUGAUAAUUGGUAUAUGGGAAUCAACAAUAAAAGAAACUUUGAAAGAAAUAAGGAAAGUGGUGAACUUGUUAGUUUAUAAACCAAGUGUAUAAUUGAUUUAGCUGUGUAUUCGAUUGUUAUGGGGCUGAAGUAGAGUAAAGGAGAUAGGAUGGUUGUGUGGACUUAUAAGGAGAAUAAAAUAGGUUUAAAAUACAAACUAAUAGCUAUGAAAAGGGUGUCGGAAAAAUGUGCACACAACUUGCUCGAUAAAAGUCUCAAGUGGACUGUUUUGGCUAAAAAUUGAAUAUUAGAUGGAAUCAAGGCUUGGGACAGAUUAGUAUGUUAUAUGAGAUGAUAAUUAGAGUGACUAAGCAUAUAAGAUUGGAACGAAACUCAACUACAAGCCAAAGUAAAAAAAAUUAAAAAGUAGUAUGUCAAGGCUACUUUAAGUGCUGUUUUGAACAGCCUAUUGAAGCUGAAAUGGAAAGGUUAUAACUUUUAAAUUCAGUCUCAUAUGCUAUGUAAAACAUAUUUAAAAUUUGUUCUAAUUUGGUAUAUGAGCUAGAAGUAAUAAGGUCGUGAAAUAAACAUGUUAGAAACCAAAAAAUUGUGAACUGCUGACCCUAAAAUGAAAAUUUAGGGUUAGCUAGGAUGUUCAAAAAAUUCUGGGCUUUUGGUAUGUUAUAUUACACUGAAUAAGCUUUCCAUAGACUCCAGAACGGACUAAUUCCGACUUCGGAGCAACGAGUUAUGCCCAUUCAAAGCAGUGGCGUUAAAUCUGUCUAAUAAAUUCGGAGCAGUCCCCUUGCACGAAUUUUCUGGAAUUCUGUGUUUUGAAUUUGGAAAUGGUCAAAGAAUGAAAGUUGUAGCAUCGGAAGUUAGCUUCGCGUGGGUUCAAGAAUCGCUCAAAAAUGCUUUGAAACGAAAAAGUUACUAUCUGAGCAAGAGAGGGUACAGUUGGAAAAAAUUUAAAACUGUUUCGAUAUGGCAGUUUUAGCCCUCUGUUUAACCUGUCUAGGUUGCCCAAAUUAGAAGAGUUAUAUUUUUAAAAAUACUAUGAUAUACCCUUUAUAACAUGCUAAGUUUUGGUUUCCAAAUUUCCAUUGGACUUGUGAUUUGCAAACUAGAAAAUGGAAAAGGAGGCCAGAGAGCAAUAUGGUUUGGCUGCUGCGGCUGGCCUGUUUUGUUUUAGUCCUUUGGGGCUAUUUUGAACACGAAUGCAAUAAAUUGAAUUGAAGUUGUUGGGAUUUAGUAAGGAUACAAGUAAGGAUAUAAAAGUGCAUAUAACAUGCUAAAAGUUAUGGCAGUUGAAUUGACACGUGAGGAAAGUAAAUUAUUUAGAGUAAGAGGUAAGGGUUGUAGCCAUGGGGCAGCAUCAAGCAGCCACAACACACUAUUUUGGCAAAUGUGGGCAGCCAAUUUGAGUUAGCAAUAUAAUGUGAGGAUUAAGGUGUAUUAAAGUAGGAACUAAAAGAAAGGGCUGCUGCCCAUUGGCUGCAGCUAUAACCAACAGCGGCGUGCAGAAAAUAGAUGCUACAGCAGCAAAUACCAUCAAUAGCAAGCAACAACUAGCUGCUACAGCAGUAAAGAAAGAUCACUUGUGGUUCUGUUUUGUAGCAUAAGUAAAAGACAUCAUAUAACAUUAGGAAACUGCUAUGGCAGUUUUGGGGCAGCUUAAUUUAAAUUAAAAAUGCAAUUGGAGCUAAUUAGUGAGCAAAUGAGAGGCAAAGCUGGUGCACAUUUGCAGCAGCAAUGGUUAGUUAACUGCUAAUACAGUGUAAAGCCACACUAAAAUUAAUAUAAUACCACAGUCAAAUAUUAGUGACUAAUAGCAUAAAGAAAUGCUAAGAAACCGUUAGUGCAUUUAAGUGAGCUACUAGAAUAAAGAAAUGCUAAGAAACCGUUAGUGCAUUUAAGUGAGCUACUAGACUCAUUUAGUUAAAUAGAGGAAACAAAAGGAUAACAAGCAAAAUUUAGCCUCAACAUAAUGAAAUGAUAAUAAGCCAAAUUAAAUUAUGCGAAAGAAUUGUUGAAGCAACAAUAAAGGCUGCAAGAUAUCUUUGGCCAAAGAGGGCUGUUUUGACAUAACUAAGAAACACAAUAAGUUUAAACGAAUAGUUUGAUAAUAUAAUUUGCAAAGUAGAUUGGAAACUAAAAGUUCUACCCUUAUGAUAUACAAUCAUAUUUAAUACAUGAAAUACCUUACGUAUGAAAAGUUCAUGAACAAAAAUUAUGUCAAACCCUAUGAAAGGAAGAAAAGGUUAUUGUAAGAACAUGGAUCAGAUAUUUGAAAAAUGUAUCUUAAAUAUAGAACAUGAACUAAAAACAUCAUGAUUAUGUGAUAUGUGAACAUACAAGCUAUAUGACUUGAUUAUUUGGCUAAUAUGCUUGUAAAUGCAAAUAAUUGUGUAGGAUUUGUGAGAAUACACAAGUUAAGCUGAAAUUGUAUCAAUAGUCUACGAACAAGGCAAGUUUCUCAGUUUAUUUAUGUGGACUUAUAAUAGCUAUAGAUAACUGUUAGCAUGAUUUAUGUUUACAAGUAUGUAAUACCUAUGAACUGCAUUAUUUGCUUUGUGAAUGAUGAAUGUCAAAUUAUGACUAAUUAUUGAAUUGAGUCGGGGAACUCAAUAUAUAUGUGCAAUGAAUGACAUGUACAUGACAUGUGUAGUAUGCUAUGGUAUGCAUGUUGCUACCAGCAGGACAUAAAUGUGAUAAUGCAUUUGUAAUAUGUAUGAACACCAAGAAUAUAAAUACAUGAACUGAAUGUGAAACCUUUGUGCUACGUGAUACAUGAUAGACUGUUAGACUUGCUGGGCCGUUGUGCUCAAUCUUGCUUAAUUUGCAGGUUAAAGCUAUGAUACGAUCUAUCGUGAUUAGGAGCGCAUGAAAAGAAGACUAGUGAUUUAAUUGAGAUUGUGUUGAAUCAUUUGAUGGUAUUUUCAUGUGUAAAUCACAGAUGUGUAAAUUUUUGAAUUAUUCGAUAGAUGAAGAUUAUUUGUUCUAAAGAGGGG
rnacentral:lncRNA from 1 species